CAGCAGCCGCGGUAACACGGAGGGGGCUAGCGUUGUUCGGAAUUACUGGGCGUAAAGCGCACGUAGGCGGCUUGGUAAGUUAGAGGUGAAAGCCCGGAGCUCAACUCCGGAAUUGCCUUUAAGACUGCCGAGCUAGUAGGUGAGAGAGGUAAGUGGAAUUCCGAAUGUAGAGGUGAAAUUCGUAGAUAUUCGGAAGAACACCAGUGGCGAAGGCGGCUUACUGGCUCAUUCUAGACGCUGAGGUGCGAAAGCGUGGGGAGCAAACAGGAUUAGAUACCCCCGUAGUCCCUGUCUCUUAUAC
rnacentral:rRNA from 1 species